rnacentral:rRNA from 1 species
CCUUUACCUGCUAACUAGUCGGGUCUACAGCGGUAGACAGCGACUUCUUAGAGGGACAAUCUGUGACUAACAGAUGGAAGUGAGGCAAUAACAGGUCUGUGAUGCCCUUAGAUGUUCUGGGCCGCACGCGCGCUACACUGAUAAAGACAGCGAGUACGGCCCUCUCCGGCAGGAGAGGGUAAUCAGCAAACUUUAUCGUGAUGGGGAUUGACCAUUGCAAUUAUUGGUCAUGAACGAGGAAUUCCUAGUAAGCGCAAGUCAUCAGCUUGCGUUGAUUACGUCCCUGCCCUUUGUACACACCGCCCGUCGAUACUACCGAUUGAAUGGCUUAGUGAGGCCUCUGGAGCGCGGGCACUGUCUGCGCGAAACAGGACAAACUUGGGCAUUUAGAGGAAGUAAAAGUCG